rnacentral:lncRNA from 1 species
GGAAUGGCAAAGCUAAAGUAUACCUGACCAAAUGAAAUACCUGAUGCAAGUGGGGUAUAUUACCAGAGUGAAGAAAAAGAAGAGGGCUGGCAUUUUAAUGAAUGUUUGUUAAACGGGAAGUACCUGGGGGAGAGCUGGAGAGACGUCUGUAGCUGCAAGCUUUCUGCAGGGAAUGAUCUUCCUUGGAAAUUACUUUGAAAGAAGCUGGCAAGGAUCCUGGUAAGAACUUAGCCUUUUCU